CAACACUUGAAAAGGUUCUUCUUCAGAUUGCUCAUAGCCACAUGAAGUCGUCCGGCCUCUAUAGCAAGUCCACACGAAGACUGACGCAGAUCAGGGUCCUAGGAGGUGCUGCCUCAAGGAACAUCGAGGCUAAUUUCUUUCUUCUUCUUCAAAGGCCUUGGAUGCUCCAAAGGAUGAAGAGAUCUGGAAGAGAAAGAGAGAAGAGGAGGAGAAGCUUUGAAAAAAAACACCAGCAAGGGAAUAAAGAUGUGAUGCCAAGAGGAGGAGCCAUCCUUUUAUAGACAAAAGCUAGGGUUUUGAUCCAAGGG
rnacentral:lncRNA from 1 species